CCUACGGGUGGCAGCAGUGGGGAAUAUUGCACAAUGGGGGAAACCCUGAUGCAGCGACGCCGCGUGAGUGAACAAGUAUUUCGGUAUGUAAAGCUCUAUCAGCAGGGAAGAAGCAAGACGGUACCUGACUCAGAAGCCCCGGCUAAAUACGUGCCAGCAGCCGCGGUAAUACGUAGGGGGCAAGCGUUAUCCGGAUUUACUGGGUGUAAAGGGAGCGUAGACGGUAUGGCAAGUCUGAAGUGAAAGCCCAGGGCUUAACCCUGGGACUGCUUUGGAAACUGUUAGACUAGAGUGCGGGAGAGGUAAGUGGAAUUCCUAGUGUAGCGGUGAAAUGCGUAGAUAUUAGGAGGAACACCAGUGGCGAAGGCGGCUUACUGGACAGUAACUGACGUUGAGGCUCGAAAGCGUGGGGAGCAAACAGGAUUAGAUACCCCUGUAGUC
rnacentral:rRNA from 1 species